rnacentral:rRNA from 1 species
UACGUAGGGUGCGAGCGUUGUCCGGAAUUAUUGGGCGUAAAGGGCUCGUAGGCGGUCUGUCGCGUCGGUAGUGAAAACUCAGGGCUUAACCCUGAGCCUGCUUCCGAUACGGGCAGACUAGAGGUAUGCAGGGGAGAAUGGAAUUCCUGGUGUAGCGGUGAAAUGCGCAGAUAUCAGGAGGAACACCGGUGGCGAAGGCGGCCCGCUGGGCAGGAAGACACCGCAAGGUGUCGGCUGACACUGAGGCGCGACAGCGUGGGGAGCAAACAGG